rnacentral:lncRNA from 1 species
AACCUUCCCCUCACCAUUAGAGGAUAAGCUUGAAGGGUUUCAAUUGAAAAUUGAGUUUUAAUUUCGCUUAUGUUUUGAAGUUGAAACUCCAAGAACCCAAGCCCUUCUUUGAUCUAAUUCACUUCCUGCAGGCUUCUAAAUUCAAGCCAAGGCCAAUUGGAAGCGAGAUUAAGCAAGAAUCAAGCGCCUCGAAGGUGAUUUUU